rnacentral:rRNA from 1 species
UACCAGCACCCCGAGUGGUCGGGACGAUUAUUGGGCCUAAAGCAUCCGUAGCCGGUACUGCAAGUCUUCCGUUAAAUCCACCUGCUCAACAGUUGGGCUGCGGAGGAUACUACAGCGCUAGGAGGCGGGAGAGGCAAGCGGUACUCAGUGGGUAGGGGUAAAAUCCAUUGAUCCAUUGAAGACCACCAGUGGCGAAGGCGGCUUGCCAGAACGCACUCGACGGUGAGGGAUGAAAGCUGGGGGAGCAAACCGG